GAUGAACGCUAGCGGCAGGCCUAACACAUGCAAGUCGAGGGGUAGAGGAAGCUUGCUUCCUUGAGACCGGCGCACGGGUGCGUAACGCGUAUGCAAUCUACCUUUUACAGAGGGAUAGCCCAGAGAAAUUUGGAUUAAUACCUCAUAGUAUUUUCGAAUGGCAUCAUUUGAUUAUUAAAGUACCAACGGUAAAAGAUGAGCAUGCGUCCUAUUAGCUAGAUGGUAAGGUAACGGCUUACCAUGGCAACGAUAGGUAGGGGUCCUGAGAGGGAGAUCCCCCACACGGGUACGGAGACACGGACCAGACUCCUACGGGAGGCAGCAGUGAGGAAUAUUGGACAAUGGGCGCAAGCCUGAUCCAGCCAUGCCGCGUGCAGGAAGACGCAUCUAUGGUGUGUAAACUGCUUUUGUACGGGAAGAAACACUCCCUCGUGAGGGAGCUUGACGGUACCGUAAGAAUAAGGAUCGGCUAACUCCGUGCCAGCCGCCGCGGUAAAAC
rnacentral:rRNA from 1 species